rnacentral:rRNA from 1 species
UAUCGCCCUUAGAGUUGAUCCUGGCUCACGACGAACGCUGGCGGCGCGCCUAACACAUGCAAGUCGAACGAGCGAGAGAGAGCUUGCUUUCUCAAGCGAGUGGCGAACGGGCGAGUAACGCGUGAGGAACCUGCCUCAAAGAGGGGGACAACAGUUGGAAACGACUGCUAAUACCGCAUAAGCCCACAGCUCGGCAUCGAGCAGAGGGAAAAGGAGCAAUCCGCUUUGAGAUGGCCUCGCGUCCGAUUAGCUGGUUGGUGAGGUAAUGGCCCACCAAGGCGACGAUCGGUAGCCGGACUGAGAGGUUGAACGGCCACAUUGGGACUGAGACACGGCCCAGACUCCUACGGGAGGCAGCAGUGGGGAAUAUUGCACAAUGGGGGAAACCCUGAUGCAGCGACGCCGCGUGGAGGAAGAAGGUCUUCGGAUUGUAAACUCCUGUUGUUGAGGAAGAUAAUGACGGUACUCAACAAGGAAGUGACGGCUAACUACGUGCCAGCAGCCGCGGUAAAACGUAGGUCACAAGCGUUGUCCGGAAUUACUGGGUGUAAAGGGAGCGCAGGCGGGAAGACAAGUUGGAAGUGAAAUCUAUGGGCUCAACCCAUAAACUGCUUUCAAAACUGUUUUUCUUGAGUAGUGCAGAGGUAGGCGGAAUUCCCGGUGUAGCGGUGGAAUGCGUAGAUAUCGGGAGGAACACCAGUGGCGAAGGCGGCCUACUGGGCACCAACUGACGCUGAGGCUCGAAAGUGUGGGUAGCAAACAGGAUUAGAUACCCUGGUAGUCCACACCGUAAACGAUGAUUACUAGGUGUUGGAGGAUUGACCCCUUCAGUGCCGCAGUUAACACAAUAAGUAAUCCACCUGGGGAGUACGACCGCAAGGUUGAAACUCAAAGGAAUUGACGGGGGCCCGCACAAGCAGUGGAGUAUGUGGUUUAAUUCGACGCAACGCGAAGAACCUUACCAAGUCUUGACAUCCCUUGACGAUGCUGGAAACAGUGUUUCUCUUCGGAGCAAGGAGACAGGUGGUGCAUGGUUGUCGUCAGCUCGUGUCGUGAGAUGUUGGGUUAAGUCCCGCAACGAGCGCAACCCUUACUGUCAGUUACUACGCAAGAGGACUCUGGCAGGACUGCCGUUGACAAAACGGAGGAAGGUGGGGAUGACGUCAAAUCAUCAUGCCCUUUAUGACUUGGGCUACACACGUACUACAAUGGCGUUAAACAAAGAGAAGCAAGACCGCGAGGUGGAGCAAAACUCAGAAACAACGUCCCAGUUCGGACUGCAGGCUGCAACUCGCCUGCACGAAGUCGGAAUUGCUAGUAAUCGUGGAUCAGCAUGCCACGGUGAAUACGUUCCNCGGGCCCUUGUACACACCGCCCGUC